UACGUAGGGUGCGAGCGUUGUCCGGAAUUAUUGGGCGUAAAGAGCUUGUAGGUGGUUUGUCGCGUCUGCUGUGAAAAUCCGAGGCUCAACCUCGGACUUGCAGUGGGUACGGGCAGACUAGAGUGCGGUAGGGGAGAUUGGAAUUCCUGGUGUAGCGGUGGAAUGCGCAGAUAUCAGGAGGAACACCAAUGGCGAAGGCAGAUCUCUGGGCCGUAACUGACGCUGAGGAGCGAAAGCAUGGGGAGCGAACAGG
rnacentral:rRNA from 1 species